ACCUUGAUGACGAGUGCCAAAUAGUACGAAACCUGGGUCCAGGGU
rfam:Schistosoma margrebowiei strain Zambia genome assembly, scaffold: SMRZ_contig0010862